rnacentral:tRNA from 1 species
GGGGUCGUGGUGUAGCCUGGUUUAACACGCCGCCCUGUCAAGGCGGAGACCGCGGGUUCAAAUCCCGUCGACCCCGCCA